CUCUUUGAAAUGGGUUGGGCUUGUUUUGGGCUUGUUUUUAAAGGCAACCCGGCUUUUUUCUUGGAAGACUUGGCAACACUGCUUGGAGUCUCCUUCCUGAUGAAG